rnacentral:rRNA from 1 species
CCGCUAUUGGAGUUCGAUUAAGCCAUGCGAGUCGCGAGAAAUUAGAUUCUCGGCGUACCGCUCAGUAACACGUGGGUAACCUGCCCUAUGCUGGAUAAUAACCUCGGGAAACUGAGUAUAAUGAUCCAUAGUUCACUACGCCUGGAACGGUGAGUGGAUGAAAGCUCCGGCGGCAUAGGAUGGGCCUGCGGCGUAUCAGGUUGUAGGGGGUGUAAUGUACCCUCUAGCCCUCUACGCGUACGGGUGUUGGGAGACAUAGCCCGGAGAUGGAUUCUGAGACACGAAUCCAGACCCUACGGGGUGCAGCAGGCGCGAAAACUUGGCAAUGCGAGAAAUCGUGACCAGGGAACUCCAAGUGCAUCGGGUAAGACCGGUGCUUUUCUUGACUCUAAAUAGGUCUUGGAAUAAGGGGUGGGUAAGGACGGUGCCAGCCGCCGCGGUAAUACCGGCGCCUCAAGUGGUAGUCGCUUUUAUUGGGCCUAAAACGUCCGUAGCCGGUCUGAUACAUUCGUGGGUAAAUCAACCAGCUCAACUGGUUGAAUUCUGCGAGGACGGUCAGACUUGGGACCGGGAGAGGUGUGGGGUACGCUCAGGGUAGGGGUAAAAUCCUGUCAUCCUGAGCGGACCACCUGUUGCGAAGGCGCCACACUAGAACGGAUCCGACGGUCAGGGACGAAGCCUAGGGGCACGAACCGGAUUAGAUACCCGGGUAGUCCUAGGUGUAAACGCUGUGGACUUGAUGUUGGGGGUGCUCCGAGCACUCUCAGUGUCGAAGCGAAGGUGAUAAGUCCACUGCCUGGGAAGUACGGUCGCAAGGCUGAAACUUAAAGGAAUUGGCGGGGGAGCACCGCAACCUGAGGAUUGUGCGG